GACAGAGGGUGCAAACGUUGUUCGGAUUUACUGGGCGUAAAGCGUGUGUAGGCGGCUUCGCAAGUUGGAUGUGAAAUCCCACGGCUCAACCGUGGACGUGCAUCCAAAACUGCGUCGCUAGAGUCUCGGAGAGGAAGGUGGGAUGCUUGGUGUAGAGGUGAAAUUCGUAGAUAUCAAGCAGAACACCUGCGGCGAAGGCGGCCUUCUGGACGAUGACUGACGCUGAGACACGAAAGCGUGGGGAGCAAACAGG
rnacentral:rRNA from 1 species